AGAUGGUGAGUUCCCUUCGGGGACACGGUGACAGGUGCUGCGUGGGUGUCGUCACCUCGUGUGUUGAGAUGUUGGGUUAAGUCUCGCAACGAGAGCAACCCUCGUCCUUAGUUGCCAUCACUAUGUUGGGCACUCUCAGGAAACCGCCCGUGAGAAACCGGAGGAAAGGGGGGAGGAGAUCUAGUCCUCACGGGCCUUACACGCUGGGGUACACACGUGCUACAAUGGGGGUGACAGUGGGGGGCGACCUCGCGAGGGGUAGCUAAUCUCCAAAAGCCGUCUCAUUUCGGAUUGUUCUCUGCAACUC
rnacentral:rRNA from 1 species